UGGGGAAUAUUGCACAAUGGACGCAAGCCUGAUGCAGCAACGCCGCGUGAGGGACGACGGCCUUCGGGUUGUAAACCUCUUUUAGUAGGGAAGAAGCGAAAGUGACGGUACCUGCAGAAAAAGCACCGGCUAACUACGUGCCAGCAGCCGCGGUAAUACGUAGGGUGCGAGCGUUGUCCGGAAUUAUUGGGCGUAAAGAGCUCGUAGGCGGUCUGUCGCGUCUGCUGUGAAAACCCGAGGCUCAACCUCGGGCCUGCAGUGGGUACGGGCAGACUAGAGUGCGGUAGGGGAGAAUGGAAUUCCUGGUGUAGCGGUGGAAUGCGCAGAUAUCAGGAGGAACACCGAUGGCGAAGGCAGUUCUCUGGGCCGUAACUGACGCUGAGGAGCGAAAGCGUGGGGAGCGAACAGGAUUAGAUACCCUGGUAGUCCACGCCGUAAACGUUGGGCGCUAGAUGUGGGGACCAUUCCACGGUUUCCGUGUCGCAGCUAACGCAUUAAGCGCCCCGCCUGGGG
rnacentral:rRNA from 1 species